rnacentral:lncRNA from 1 species
AUUGAAAAGUAUAUAGUGUAGUGAGCUAAUGACGGAAUCCUCAUUAUCAAGAUACUAAUCAUACUAGUAAACAAAUGUGAUGUAUCUAAAUUAUUCACAACCAAGAUAUGCAAGAUUGGAGUAAAUGAAGUUGAAAAAGAAAAAUCAAAGCACAACCAUAACAACAACAACAACAACAACAACAACACAAGAUUUACGUAGUUCACUAGCCGUCUACGGGCACGGAGAGAUUAAAUCCGCUAUCAAAUAAGGAGAUUAUAAGAUUUGGUUAUAGAUUACCACUCUAUUACAAUGGGCUUGCAACCUUCUAAUUGGGAAAAAUCUUUCUUGCUACACCUUUAUUUAAGCACCUUCCGAGUCCGCGAAACUCGCUUCGAAAUGAGUCUUAGAAUUCCUCCAAUCAAUCUUGAAAGCUUUGAAUCAAGCAAGAAUUCAAGCUUUAAAUCAAGCAAGAAGAACAAGAGAGCUCCUUCUCCAAUCCUCUCUACACCUCCCUUCUCUAUCUCAAGAAAAGGAAAAACCUAGGGAGCAAACAAAAUGAAAACUCUUUCUUUCUAAAACCCAAAGAGAUUCUCUCUUAACACUAUUUGGCCCAACAUACCAAAUGGAUCAACUAAAGCACAAAUCAAUUAUUAACUAGUUCAUUACAUGAGCUGUUGAACCAAAUUCAAAAUAAAACUAAUUAGGCUAAUAAGUGAAUUUGAUAUCACCCAACAUAUGGGAGGUGAAACUGGUCAAAGAGAUAUAAUAAAAUUAAAAAAAAAAAAGGGGGGGACACAACAUAACAUUUGGAAAAGGGCGGCCCCAACUUCCUUAUUCCGGCUCUUCCUGAAGGGAUAGGUCUUUACAAUAGCUGUUGUCCUGUUCUUUAAGAUCGUCAUCAUUGCAACAUUUAUAUAUUUCACAAACUGAAAACAAUGAGGACAAAAAAACAAUAAAAAUCCAUUGGAUUUUAUACAGGAUUAAGUUUCUAUCUUUGACAAUUUACAUCAAUUCUAAAAUAUUCAGCAUUUAUUUUAACCUAGGAGUACUGUAAUUCACCUUACUGUUCCUUCCGCCCGCUAAAAAGGAGAUCAUAUUUCAAAGUUAAAGAAACAAAAAGGAUAUUUAUAGAUGCCUGUCACCGGCAUUUCAAUAUAAACUAGUGAAGGCCCGCGCUACGCGGCGGAAAAUUUAUAUAAAUUCUAAAAUAUUUUGAAUAGUAUAAUAAAUAAAAUAAUGUGAAUCAGGAAUAGCCGUACUAAAAUAUGAAUUAGAAUUCAGAAUUCAUAUAAAAGGUAACUUAUAUGAAUUUUGAAUGCCUGGUCUUCAGAAUUCAGAAUUCCUAAUUUUUGACCUAAAAAUUACAUAAUUGAUAACAGACAUGAAGCUAAAGUUUGUUAUGGAAAAAAGGCUGCUCAAUAAUCGAACAGUUUAUAAUGCUACUGCUUGCUACUAAAGUAGUAAUGGUGGAAUUCUUUAGUACUAAAAAAUUUGGUUGAGGUAAUAUAAUUAUUUAGUGUCAAAAAAAUAUACUAAUUACUAAAAUAUAAAAUUUACUCACAGUACGCUUGCUCUCUUCUUUUUUUUUUUUUUUUUACUUUCUCUUCACAGUUCCAUUCAUGGAUGUAGUAUAGAUGAAGCCUCUUCCUUUUCUUAACCUUUUUUUUUUGUUUUUUUUUUUACUUUUUCUUAAUAGUAGUAUCCAUGGAUGUAGUGUAGACGAAGUUUCCCUAAACCGUGGGGAGCCUCUCUUAAGCUUCUUUACGAAGAGAGGGGGCGGACGACACGUUAGCUAGCAGGAGAAACUCAAGUUUCAAAGAUAGAGAUGGUAGAAUUAUUUAUUGCCGGAAAGUUUGGGGGGGUAUCAAAAUAAUUUUGAUACACAGUUCAAGAAUCAUAUAAUUAAUAACUGAUAUGAAGCUAGAGUUUGUUAUGGAAAAAGUGGUGGUGAAAUUCUCAAGUACUAAAAAGAUUGGUAGAAAUAAUAGAAUUAUUUAGUGUUGAAAAUUAUGAGUACAUUAUGUUAAUAUAAAAUAUACUAAUUAUUAAAAUAUGUUUUCGCAUUCGGACGAGCCAAUAUUGGACCGUCAUGAGUCUAUUCUACUAUGCCCUAAGUGUGCAUAUUCAUAACAAAUACAAGUUCGCAUUCAAACGAAUAGGAAUUGAAACCCCUUGGGGCGGUCCUAUUGUGCGCUAAGAGUUUAUGCGCGCAAUAAAAUCAUGUUCACAAGCAAACGUGCAAAAACUAAGACUUCAUGGGACUGUUCUAUUGUUCCCAUAGAGUAGAAAUUCGCAACGAACGUAUGUUCACCUUCAAAGGAACAAAAACUGAAACCUGAUGAGAUUUUUUGAAUAUGCUCUAAGAGUGUAAAUUUGCAACAAAUACAUGUUCGACUUCAAACGCACAAAAAUCGAAACCUCAUUAAGCCGUUAUAUUGCGCCCUUUAUGGCAUGCCAGUUGCUGGCCAUAAUCCCUAAAAAUAGAGGUUAGAACAACCGGGGUAAGUCAGGUCGUAGCCUGGUUAGGAAAAGUUCAGCUAAUUUGAAUUUGAUAGGAGAAGGUUCAUUUGCCGGGCUUAGGCGUUCCGUUAGAGACUAGUUACAAGUUAAUCAUAUCCCUUUCUCUAACGAAGUUAUUAAUAACUCAUUGAUAGUGGGCUUCAAGUGAUUGAAGGGAAGAUGCCAAAAGAGAAGGGAGAAGAAAGUGAUCUUGAGCUGGAGAGAAGGUUUUCGAGGUGAAGGAGUAGGAAAAAAAUCUCCAAUUACGUACAUCCACGAUGUGACCCAACUUCCACAUAAUGGAUGCCGACUCCCCAAAAAACGUUGUGUUCAAAUAGUUCCAACCAUUUUUGAAUCUCCAUUUUCACUUGACAAGAAAGAUUGUACAUUCGCAACGAGUACAUGUUCGCAAUCAAAUGAGCAAAAAUUUAAACCUCCUGGGACUAUUCUACUAUGCCCUAAGAGUGUACAUUCGCAAAGAAUAAGUUUUUGCAAUUAGACGAGCCAAUAUUGGUGUGACGCCCCAACUUCCCAGGGGGUCACCCAUCCUAGGACUACUCCUGUCCUAGCACGCUUAACUCUCUUAACCUCUUGGGCCUUGCCACCACCCAAAAUGCUUAAGCCGGGUUAAGAGUUUAGCCCUAUUAUAUCUCAUAUAUAGGACUAUCUGGGGUCUCACAAUCUCCCCUUCUUUAAGCCCUGACGUCCUCAUCAGGCUCAGACUCACAAGUACCAGGCCAGGCGAUGUGAGACUUAUCUCACUAGCCCGUCAUCCAGACCAUGGCUCAGCCGAGACUCAUCUCACACUUCCGGCUGGUAAUUGGCUCUGAUAAUUAGACUACUCAGUUGCGCCCUAACAGUAUUAACUUUGCAACGAGUACUUUUUCUCAUUUUAUCGAAGAAAACGCAAAAUCUAAUUAUAUUGUUCUAUUAUGCCCAGAGAGUGUAAAUUUGGAACGAAUCGAUGUCAACGCUCACAUGAACAAAAAUCGGGACAACAUUAGACUACUCAGUUGCGCCAUAACAGUAUAACUUUGCAACGAGUGCUUUUUCUCAUUUCAUCGUAGAAAGCGCAAAUCCAAUUAUAUUGUUCUAUUAUGCCCAGAGAGUGUAAAUUUGGAACGAACCGAUGUCAACGCUCACAAGAAAAAAAAAACCGGAACAACAUUAGACUACUUAGUUGCGCCCUAACAGUAUAACUUUGCAACGAGUACUUAUUCUCAUUUUAUCGAACAAAGCGUCAAACCUAAUUAUAUUGAUUUAUUAUGCCCAGAGAGUGUAAAUUUGGAACGAAUCAAUGUCAGCGCUCACAGGAACAAAAACCGGAACAACAAUAGACUGCUUAGUUGCGCCAUAACAGUAUAACUUUGCAACGAGUGCUUUUUCUCAUUUUAUCGAAAAAGCGCAAAUUUAAUUAUAUUGUUCUAUAAUGCCCAGAGAGUGUAAAAUUUGGAACGAAUCGAUGUCAACGCUCACAAGAACAAAAACCGGAACAACAUCAGACUACUCAGUUGCGCCAUAACAGUAUAACUUUGCAACGAGUGCUUUUUCUCAUUUUAUCGAAGAAAAAGAGUAAAACAUAAUUAUAUUGUUCUAUUAUGCCCAGAGAGUGUAAAUUUGGAACGAAUCGAUGUCAACGCUCGCAAGAACAAAAACCGAAACAACUUUAGACUACUCAGUUGCGCAAUAACAGUAUAACAUUGCAACGAGUGAUUUUUCUCAUUUUAUCGAAGAAAGCGUAAAACCUAAUUAUAUUUUUCUAUUAUGACCAGAGAGUGUAAAUUUGGAACGAAUCGAUGUCAACGCUCACAAGAACAAAAAUCGGAACAACAUUAGACUACUCAGUUGCUCCAUAACAGUAUAACUUUGCAACGAGUACUUUUUCUCAUUUUAUCGAAGAAAACGCAAAAUCUAAUUAUAUUGUUCUAUUAUGCCCAGAGAGUGUAAAUUUGGAACGAAUCGAUGUCAACGCUCACAUGAACAAAAAUCGGGACAACAUUAGACUACUGAGUUGCGCCCUAACAGUAUAAAUUUGCAACGAGACCUUUUUCUCAUUUUAUCGAAGAAAGCAUCAAACCUAAUUAUAUUGUUCUAUUAUGCCCAGACAGUGUAAUUUUGGAACGAAUCGAUGUCAACGCUCACAAGAAUAAAAACCGGAACAACAUUAGACUACUCAGUCGCGCCCUAACAGUAUAACUUUGCAACGAGUACUUUUUCUCAUUUUAUCGAACAAAGCGUCAAACCUAAUUAUAUUGAUUUAUUAUGCCCAGAGAGUGUAAAUUUAGAACGAAUCGAUGUCAACGCUCACAAGAACAAAAACCGGAACAACAAUAGACUACUUAGUUGCGCCAUAACAGUAUAACUUUGCAACGAAUGCUUUUUCUCAUUUUAUCGAAAAAGCGCAAAUUUAAUUAUAUUGUUCUAUAAUGCCCAGAGAGUGUAAAAUUUGGAACGAAUCGAUGUCAACGCUCACAAGAACAAAAACCGGAACAACAUGAGACUACUCAGUUACGCCCUAACAGUAUAAAUUUGCAACGAGCACUUUUUCUCAUUUUAUCGAAGAAAGCAUUAAACCUAAUUAUAUUGUAAUAUUAUGCCCAGAGGGUGUAAAUUUGGAACGAAUCGAUGUCAACGCUCACAAGAACAAAAACCGGAACAACAUUAGACUACUCAGUUGCGCCAUAACAGUAUAAUUUUGCAACGAGUGCUUUUCUCAUUUCAUCGAAGAAAGCGCAAAUCUAAUUAUAUUGUUCUAUUAUGCCCAGAGAGUGUAAAUUUGGAACGAAAUCGAUGUCAACGCUCACAAGAACAAAAACAGGAACAACAUUAGACUACUCAGUUGCGCCCUUACAGUAUAACUUUGCAACGAGUACUUUUUCUCAUUUUAUCGAAGAAAGCGUAAAACCUAAUUGUAUUCUUCUAUUAUGCCCAGAGAGUGUAAAUUUGGAACGAAUCGAUGUCAACGUUCACAAGAACAAAAACCGGAACAACAUUAGACUACUCAGUUGCGCCCUAACAGUAUAACUUUGCGACGAGUACUUUUUCUCAUUCUAUCGAACAAAGAGUAAAACAUAAUUAUAUUGUUCUAUUAUGCCCAGAGAGUGUAAAUUUGGAACGAAUCGAUGUCAACGCUCGCAAGAACAAAAACCGAAACAACUUUAGACUACUCAGUUGCGCAAUAACAGUAUAACAUUGCAACGAGUGAUUUUUCUCAUUUUAUCGAAGAAAGCGUAAAACCUAAUUAUAUUUUUCUAUUAUGACCAGAGAGUGUAAAUUUGGAACGAAUCGAUGUCAACGCUCACAAGAACAAAAAUCGGAACAACAUUAGACUACUCAGUUGCGCCCUAACAGUAUAACUUUGCAACGAGUACUUAUUCUCAUUUUAUCGAACAAAGCGUCAAACCUAAUUAUAUUGAUUUAUUAUGCCCAGAGAGUGUAAAUUUGGAACGAAUCAAUGUCAGCGCUCACAGGAACAAAAACCGGAACAACAAUAGACUGCUUAGUUGCGCCAUAACAGUAUAACUUUGCAACGAGUGCUUUUUCUCAUUUUAUCGAAAAAGCGCAAAUUUAAUUAUAUUGUUCUAUUCUGCCCAGAGAGUGUAAAUUUGGAACGAAUCGAUGUCAACGCUCACAAGAAAAAAAACCAGAACAACAUUAGACUACUCAGUUGCGACAUAACAGUAUAACUUUGCAACGAGUACUUUUUCUCAUUUUAUCGAAGAAAACGCAAAAUCUAAUUAUAUUGUUCUAUUAUGCCCAGAGAGUGUAAAUUUGGAACGAAUCGAUGUCAACGCUCACAUGAACAAAAAUCGGGACAACAUUAGACUACUGAGUUGCGCCCUAACAGUAUAAAUUUGCAACGAGACCUUUUUCUCAUUUUAUCGAAGAAAGCAUCAAACCUAAUUAUAUUGUUCUAUUAUGCCCAGACAGUGUAAUUUUGGAACGAAUCGAUGUCAACGCUCACAAGAAUAAAAACCGGAACAACAUUAGACUACUCAGUCGCGCCCUAACAGUAUAACUUUGCAACGAGUACUUUUUCUCAUUUUAUCGAAGAAAGCGUCAAACCUAAUUAUAUUGUUCUAUAAUGCCCAGAGAGUGUAAAUUUGGAACGAAUCGAUAUCAACACUCACAAAAAUAAAAACCGGAACAACAUUUGAGUACUCAGUUGUGCCUCUAACAGGUAUAACUUUUUGCAACCAGUACUUUAUUCUCAUUUUUUUGAAGUAAGCGGCCAAAACUAAUUUAUAUUGUAUUCUAUUUAGCCCCAGAGAGCUUGUAAAUUUCUGGAACGAAUUGAUGUCAACGCUCCACAAGAACAAAAACUGGAACAAAAUUAGGCUACUUAGUUGCGCCCUAACAGUAUAACUUUGCAACGAGUGCUUUUUCACAUUUUAUCGAAGAAAGCGUCAAACCUAAUUAUAUUGCUCUAUAAUGCCCAGAGAGUGUAAAUUUGGAACGAAUCGAUAUCAACACUCACAAAAAUAAAAACCGGAACAACAUUUGAGCACUCAGUUGUGUGCCCUUAACAGGUAUAACUUUUGCAACCAGUACUUUUUCUUCAUUUUAUCGAAAGUAAUGCGUCAAAACUAAUUUAUAUUAUGUCUCUUUUACGCCCAGAAGAGAGUAAAUCUGGAACGGAAUCGAUGUCAACGCUCACAAGAACAAAAACUGGAACAAAAUUAGGCUACUUAGUUGCGCCCUAACAGUAUAACUUUGCAACGAGUGCUUUUUCACAUUUUAUCGAAGAAAGCGUCAAACCUAAUUAUAUUGCUCUAUAAUGCCCAGAGAGUGUAAAUUUGGAACGAAUCGAUAUCAACACUCACAAAAAUAAAAACCGGAACAACAUUUGAGUACUCAGUUGCGCCUUAACAGUAUAACUUUGCAACCAGUACUUUUUCUCAUUUUAUCGAAGUAAGCGUCAAACCUAAUUAUAUUAUUCUAUUAUGCCCAGAGAGUGUAAAUUUGGAACGAUUCGAUGUCAACGCUCACAAGAACAAAAACCGGAACAACAUUAGACUCUUCAGUUGCACCCUAACAGUAUAACUUUGCAACGCGUACUUUUUCUCGUUUUAUCGAAGAAAGCGUAAAAUCUAAUUAUAUUGUUGUAUUAUGCCCAGAUAGUGUAAAUUUGGAACGAAUCGAUGUCAACGCUCACAAGAACAAAAACCGGAACAACAUUAGAGCACUCAGUUCCGCCAUAACAGUAUAACUUUGCAACGAGUGCUUUUUUUCAUUUUAUCGAAGAAAGCGUAAAACCUAGUUAUAUUAUUCUAUUAUGCCCAGAGAGUGUAAAUUUGGAACGAAUCGAUUUCAACGCUCACAAGAACAAAAACCGGAACAACAUUAGACUACUCAGUUGCGCCCUAACAGUAUAACUUUGCAACGAGUACUUUUUCUCAUUUAUCGAAGAAAGCGUCAAACCUAAUUAUAUUGUUCUAUCUUGCCCAGAGAGUGUAAAUUUGGAACGAAUCGAUGUCAAAGCUCACAAGAACAAAAAUCGGAUCAAUAUUAGACUACUCAGUUGCGCCCUAACAGUAUAACUUUGCAACGAGUGCUUUUUCUCAUUUUAUCGAAGAAAGCGUAAAUCUAAUUAUAUUGUUCUAUUAUACCUAGAGAGUGUAAAAUUGGAACGAACUGAUGUGAGCGCUCACAAGAACAAAAACCGGAUCAAUAUUAGACUACUCAGUUCCGCCCUAACAGUAUAACUUUGCAACGAGUACUUUUUCUCAUUUAUCGAAGAAAGCGUCAAACCUAAUUAUAUUGUUCUAUUAUGCCCAGAGAGUGUAAAUUUGGAACGAAUCGAUUUUAAAGCUCACAAGAACAAAAACCGGAACAAUAUUAGACAACUCAGUUGCGCCCGAACAGUAUAACUUUGCAACGAGUGCUUUUUCUCAUUUUAUCGAAGAAAGCGUCAAACCUCAUUAUAUUGUUCUAUUAUGCCGAGAGAGUGUAAAUUUGGAACGAAUCGAUGUCAACGCUCACAAGAACAAAAACCGGAACAACAUUAGACUCUUCAGUUGCACCCUAACAGUAUAACUUUGCAACGCGUACUUUUUCUCGUUUUAUCGAAGAAAGCGUAAAAUCUAAUUAUAUUGUUGUAUUAUGCCCAGAUAGUGUAAAUUUGGAACGAAUCGAUGUCAACGCUCACAAGAACAAAAACCGGAACAACAUUAGAGCACUCAGUUCCGCCAUAACAGUAUAACUUUGCAACGAGUGCUUUUUUUCAUUUUAUCGAAGAAAGCGUAAAACCUAGUUAUAUUAUUCUAUUAUGCCCAGAGAGUGUAAAUUUGGAACGAAUCGAUUUCAACGCUCACAAGAACAAAAACCGGAACAACAUUAGACUACUCAGUUGCGCCCUAACAGUAUAACUUUGCAACGAGUACUUUUUCUCAUUUUAUCGAAGAAAGCGUAAAAUCUAAUUAUAUUGUUCUAUUAUUCCCAGAUAGUGUAAAUUUGGAACGAAUUGAUGUCAACGCUCACAAGAACAAAAACCGGAACAACUUUAGACUACUCAGUUGCGCCUAACAGUAUAACUUUGCAACGAGUACUUUUUCUCAUUUUAUCGAAGAAAGCGUCAAAACUAAUUAUAUUGUUCUAUUACGCCCAGAGAGUGUAAAUUUGGAACGAAUUGAUGUCAACGCUCACAAGAACAAAAACUGGAACAAAAUUAGGCUACUUAGUUGCGCCCUAACAGUAUAACUUUGCAACGAGUGCUUUUUCACAUUUUAUCGAAGAAAGCGUCAAACCUAAUUAUAUUGCUCUAUAAUGCCCAGAGAGUGUAAAUUUGGAACGAAUCGAUAUCAACACUCACAAAAAUAAAAACCGGAACAACAUUUGAGUACUCAGUUGCGCCUUAACAGUAUAACUUUGCAACCAGUACUUUUUCUCAUUUUAUCGAAGUAAGCGUCAAACCUAAUUAUAUUAUUCUAUUAUGCCCAGAGAGUGUAAAUCUGGAACGAAUCGAUGUCAACGCUCACAAGAACAAAAACCGGAACAACAUUAGACUACUCAGUUGCGCCAUAACAAUAUAACUUUGCAACGAGUACUUUUUCUUAUUUUAUCGAAGAAAGCGUAAAUCCUAAUUAUAUUAUUCUAUUAUGCCCAGAGAGAGUAAAUUUAGAACCAAUCGAUGUCAACGCUCACAAGAACAAAAAUCGGAACAACAAUAGACUACUCAGUUGCACCCUAACAGUAUAACUUUACAACGAGUGCUUUUUCUCAUUUUAUCGAAGAAGGCGUCAAACCUAAUUAUAUUGUUCUAUUAUUCCGAGAAAGUGUAAAUUUGGAACGAAUCGAUGUCAAAGCUCACAAGAACAAAAACCGGAACAAUAUUGGACUACUCAGUUGCGCCCUAACAGUAUAACUUUGCAACGAGUGCUUUUUCCCAUUUUAUCGAAGAAAGCGUAAAUGCUAAUUAUAUUGUUCUAUUAUGCCCAGAGAGUGUAAAUUUGGAACGAACCGAUGUCAGCGCUCACAAGAACAAAAACCGGAACAACAUUAGACUAAUCAGUUGCGCCCGAACAGUAUAAUUUUGCAACGAGUGAUUUUUCUCAUUUUAUCGAAGAAAGCGUCAAACCUAAUUAUAUUGUUCUAUUAUGCCCAGAGAGUGUAAAUUUGGAACGAAUCGAUGUCAACGCUCACAUGAACAAAAAUCGGGACAACAUUAGACUACUGAGUUGCGCCCUAACAGUAUAAAUUUGCAACGAGACCUUUUUCUCAUUUUAUCGAAGAAAGCAUCAAACCUAAUUAUAUUGUUCUAUUAUGCCCAGACAGUGUAAUUUUGGAACGAAUCGAUGUCAACGCUCACAAGAAUAAAAACCGGAACAACAUUAGACUACUCAGUCGCGCCCUAACAGUAUAACUUUGCAACGAGUACUUUUUCUCAUUUUAUCGAAGAAAGCGUCAAACCUAAUUAUAUUGUCUAUUAUGACCAGAGAGUGUAAAUUUGGAACGAAUCGAUGUCAACGCUCACAAGAACAAAAACCGGAAGAAAAUUAGACCACUUAGUUGCGCCCUAACAGUAUAACUUUGCAACGAGUACUUUUUCUCAUUUUAUCGAAUAAAGCGUAAAACCUAAUUAUAUUGUUCUAUUAUGCCCAGAGAGUGUAAAUUUGGAACGAAUCGAUGUCAACGCUCACAAGAACAAAAACCGGAAUAACUUUAGACUACUCAGUUGCGCCAUAACAAUAUAACUUUGCAA